AACAUGCCACUCCGCGAGAAGUAUGAACCGACGUUGAUACCGCAUUAUCAUAACUGCAUAUUCAACUGUAACAAAUGUCAUAUAUUUCAAGUAUGCAGAAAUGUUAAGAAGUUCAGUGCGAAGCUUAACAGCUGUGCCGCGGUUAGUCGAAUGUUCCUAUCUUAAUACAGUCAGUGCCUAUAGUCGGUCGUUUGCGUAAUCGGUUUGGACAAAAAUUUGGACCGUUAGGGCCGAAUUUAAGACUUCUAUGACAAUUUAAGGUUAAGGACGCAUUCUGAAUAUGAGAAAUAGUGCGCACGCUCUAAUUCACGAUUCAUCGUAACGGCCAAUCUGAAAACAUCCCUAGGAAUUUUGCGUGGAUGGUCUAGGUUAGGUCGCGUGACGCAAGGACUGAAAUAAACCGCUAUUUCGAUUUCUUAAACGUUGGCAUUUUGGCGAGAUAGGGAAGAAAGGUUCUAGGAACUCGGGAGCGAACGAUGCGUCGAGUGAUCACGCCACUGAAAUAUUUCUUCGAUGAUUCAUUUAUGGCGAUAAAUGUUAACAACUCGGAAUGAAAACAGCGAAGUCUGGCCAGAGAAAAGAACGAGCACUUUGGUGAUUUUAGAGAGACAAUUACAGAAUUUUUUUUUAAUAAAAUAUAACAUUGACAAGCAUCUAAUAUUAAUAUAUUUAUUAACGUUCGCGAAGAUAAUUUACCGACCUUAACACAGCAAUGAACGAUAAAUUCGAGGAAAUUCAUUGACGCCUUCGUAUUUCGGACUUCCGAAAUAUGACAAAUUGAAGAUACUGUGAAGGAUUUUCAGCGAAUUUGAGCGCGCGCUUUUGUAUGGGGAAUUUCGUUCGAUGGAAAUUUGUAACUAGAUCGUCCAAACAAUUUUUGGACGGUACAGGACAGAUUCGUUAUUUAUAUUAUACUAGCUUCCUGUUAUCCAGUGACACUGAUAAGCAAAUCACGUUUCUAAUUACGCAUGCGGUCAGCUAGAGCGAAAAAAUUGAUUUUAACGUUACCGUCCCCAUCGCUGUUACAACCGUGAUUACAACCGUAGUACAGGUCUUUUUUUUACAAAUAUUUGAGUCUGUUUACACGGAAACGUAUGUUUAGUUUUCGUUCAACGAUGUAUGGCUGCCACAAAGGUCAUGUUUCUAUUAUUUCACAAUGAAAAGAUUAGUCUUCUAGGAACGUUAUUCUAAUAACAACAUGAAUCAUCGGGAGACCUUGUUCACUACCGACACUUGUCGCUGAAAAUUACUCGAAUCAUUUCGUAUGAAAUUGAAAUAUUGUUUUACAUCGGAAAUAGUAUUAUUAAUUAACAUAUGGUUUUUAGAUAACUAAAAAUAUCGAGAUUUACCGAAUUCAUACAUUUUUGGAUUCGGCUUAGCAUUAAUUUGGAAGUACCGAUCAACAAAUGAAGAAACGGCAAAAUGGUAAACGUAAUAUUUUGAUUGAAUUAAUAAAUAUGUAAACAUAUUGUUGCGUUGCGGGAUAAAAUUUUGUUCUUAUUGUUUAUCAAUUGUUUAUUAUAUUACACAACGAAGAUGUUUAAGAGUCUUGCUGCGAUAGAGAAUCAGGGCAAUGACCUUGAACGGUUAAUUGCCUUGAUUGUAACCAAUGUAUACCGAGUAUACAUUGUUGCACACUAUCUUACUUGCAAUCAAGAUUAAUGGCGAGAGUAAUAAGCUUGUUUCAAUAAGGAGUAAAACCUAGCUUAAAUAAGCACGGCUCAAAAUUAUUUCCCGCGUAUGUGUCGUUCUAAAUUAUGAGAAAAUAAUUACAUAUCAGGCCUUUGGAACUUCUUUUAUCCACAUCAUUCAGGAACUUCUUUUUUCCAAUUGUACAUCAACACAAUUUAAUAAAGUAGGAUCAUCAAA